CACAAUUUAAAUAAUUCGAACAACCAUCAUCAGUCGAUUUGUAACACUCAUAAAAAUCAUGAUAAAUUUAAACUUUUUAAAUAUAAACCAAAACCAUAAAGUGUUUACAAAACAAUUUUCAAAACAUUUCCAACAUCAGAGUUUUCCCAAAAUCAUAGAUCAUAACAAGAGGAUGUGUACAGUUACGCCUUCGCCUUCCCGCGGUCAUCCGAAGUACCUGAAACAUAACCAAAAACUGUAAGUCAACGCUUAGUGAGUUCUCCCAAAAUACCUAUACAUAACCAAAUAACAUAUAUACAAUAACAUCAUGCAAUGGGUUCACAUCUAAAAGUUUGGGUUACCCCUGAGCCCACAAUAUAAGUUUGGCUUGCCCUCGGGGCCCACAACUUAUGUUUGGCUUGCUCCCCGACCAGAUCAUUCCUUGGACUGAAUACCAUCAAGCCUCAGUACGAGUCUGGCAUGCCCUACCCGGCCCUCAACUCGUAUAUGGAAUGCUCAUGAUCCUUCAGUAUGAGUUUUCCAUGCCCUACCUGGCCCUCAACUCAUAUCUAGAAUGCUCCAGGGUUUGUUGGCUACCACACCAAGUUGUACAGCCUCAACCAGACCCAACAAAAUAUGUUGACAUAAACAAAUAAUCAUGCAACAGAGUCACAAGUAGUCCUACAGAUCUACCAGUCUAGCAUAUCAUUAGCUAGCAUAAACAUGCAUAUCUAUCCCAUACUCAGCAUAUCAUUGUGUAAGAUGAGGAAAACUCACCUCACAAACUGACCGGAAGAUGAUGAGGUCUCGACUCCAAAUCUAAGCUCUCUAACCGACACCUAUUCCCACAAAUUGACCAAUUCCAUCAAAAUUCCAAAAUACCCUCAAUGGUUAGCUGGUCAAACCCACCAAGUCAACUCGACCGAGUCAACUCAAGGUGCGUACUCGGGGCGUACUCCUGAGGUACGCAGGUCAUACACGAGGCCACAUAGCUUGACCAGCAUCAGGGUGGUUGACCGAGUACGGGGGUGUACUCUGAGUACGUGGGGCAUACCCUCGUAAGUCCAAAAACCUCAUUAAGAGUUUAAUGGCUUAAGCUCUUACGUCCCAACUUCAGAUCCAUGGCUAAAAUGCACUCUAUGGUCAUAAAGUUUCCAACUUUAUGACUUUACACACCUAUUAAGAGCUUAAAUCAAGGUCUUGAUCGGUUAAGACCUUCUGCAUGAUGAAUAGAACAAAACUAACCAAUGGGACUUCAUUUUUAUGAUUUAGGACCCCUCCUAGGGUCUGAAAGGACAACUCAAAUCGUCAAGAACAUGCCAUGUUCAAGAUGAGACAAUUGGGACCCAAAAACACAUGAAAUCAACACAUAAGCAAGAUUUGGUAAACUAGCCACCAAUGUAUGAACUUUAUACCUUGAAAUGAUGGAUAAAGGUGUAAAACAUCCUGAUCCAAGCCUUGCUUCAAGCUUCUAAACUUUACAACCACCUUCUUCUUCCUUUGGAGCACACAAAAACUCACACUCAACCUUCUAAAGGACACAAGUAAAGGCUAGGAUUACAAAGGAACACGUUUUCUGCUAAUGGAGGCUAAAAAAUAGGGAAGGAAUGAGACUUAAGGAUGUUUAAAUUCUAGCCAAACCCUAAAAACUAGGGUUUCCCACUCUGGCAAGUACGCCUAGCAUACACUGAUGUACGCCCAGCAUACUAGGGUGUGCCCUAAUACGCUCAACGUACACCAUGUACGCAUGGCGUACUCCGAAGUCCCCAAAAUUACAAUAUUGCCAUUAGGGUUCCAUUGCAUACAUUCUUGAACUAAGGGACCAAAAUGCAACAUAAAUAAAUUAAAAGACUGAAAUUAGAAAUACCUUGACAUCAUGAUGUUACACCAGUUGAUACAGUCAAAUGCAAUUUCGACUCCAAGAAACAACAAUCAAACAUGCUUUCGAAGUUAACUAUUCCCAGAUGUGAAAUUGAUUCUAACCUCAAGACAAUCGACUCCAAAUCAAUUUGUAGAUGCGAAUGAGUAGUAGCAACAGUCAAAUUCGACCAACAAUUUACACAUCGAAAUCGACUCAUCUCUACUCGAACGGCUCAAUUCCCAAUGGAAAUCGACUUUCACUCCAAGACUAUUCGAUCCUUCAUCGACUCAAACUCCAAUCAACUGAGUACCAGGACGCAAACAGAACAUAUAGUUAAAUUUGAUUUCGAUCCAAAGCCAUGCUUGUUCGACUUGUUAAAUCUAAAAACACAUUCAACCCCAAGAUUUUCUUUGUUCGACUUACAAAUAUACAAAUCGAAAUCCAUUCCUCAAAACUCUAAUUCUUUUCUGGAAAUGAAAUGAAUAAUCACCAGUCAAAAUCAAACUAACAUCACCAUCGAUUGACUUCUCCAUACAAACAGAUUUGACUUUGACUCCAAGAACAUUCGAUCAAAAUUGAAAUUAGUUGAAAUCAACAUAAAAAUUUGAAAUUGAAGAGGUAUAUCAACAUCAAUCGAGAUUGAAAUCGACACCAAAUGCUUACAAUGUCGACUUAACUUCCAAAACAUUCGAUCCCAAGAUAUAUUCCGUUCGAUUCAAAGUAAGUCUAAAUCGAAACGAGUUUCAAUCAUCCUCAGUCAAACCUUCUAUAACAAUCAAAAUCUCUUUCUGUAAUCAAUGGAACGAGUAACAAUCCAAAAACGAAUUCUCUUGAAUAGACUAAAAAAUGAAAUCCAGUCAAAUUCGAUUACAGCCCCCAAUCCCAAAGUCAAAUACUU
rnacentral:lncRNA from 1 species